rnacentral:rRNA from 1 species
UACGUAGGGGGCAAGCGUUGUCCGGAUUUAUUGGGCGUAAAGAGCGUGUAGGCGGCUUGGAAGGUCAGCUGUGAAAACUCGAGGCUCAACCUCGAGACGUCGGUUGAAACCACCUGGCUAGAGUCCGGAAGAGGAGAGUGGAAUUCCCGGUGUAGCGGUGAAAUGCGCAGAUAUCGGGAAGAACACCCGUGGCGAAGGCGGCUCUCUGGGACGGUACUGACGCUGAGACGCGAAAAGCGUGGGGGAGCGAACAGG